AAUUGCUUGGUAAAAUCUAACAACGUUCUUCAGCCAACUAAAAUGACAAGUUACAACCAAAACAUAUGCUAAUUAAAAACAACUCUAUAUUUUAACACUGUAAAAAAUAAUCAAACAUCGUUGCUAUGUCCAGAGUACUAAGCUCUCUAACCUCUUCCCAAAAUUUGCACGCACCUCAAAACCAAUAUCUAGAGUGGGUUAAAAGAGGUAGAAAAAAGUAUCCAACUAGAAAGACAAUCUAAAGGUGGCCAUCUCCAGAUAAGACAAAAUGAUAAUUCCUUUUGAACUCACGGGGGCGAGAAGGAUUUGAAUCCAGAAUCUCCAAUUCUUUAAGUUCCGCUGCCACAUUUAUCUGAAGCUCUGUCUGAUCUUAAUCAUCCGCUUGAGUGUUGCAAGCCAAAAGUUGCACUCGUCCCAAUCACUUGUCGUGAGAAGUACCUGUAUCUGAAGGGCGGUACUGAAAUCACCAUUGUCCAAGGACUGACAAAGUUGCACAAGUUUUUCUGCUGCGUUCUUAGAUAUGUCCCCACUGUUUAGUUUUGCAAAAAGUGCUCCUAACUUCUUUGAAUUAUCCUCAAUUUCCCGCUUCUUAGCUGGAUUUGCUCGUGAUCCACCCAAUGCCUCUGAUGUUUCAUUGAACAAUCUAGUCAAAGUUGCUAUCACGGGCUUUUGCUGGGCAGGAACAUUUGAGGUAUCCACCGUCUGAACUGUAGGUGGGGGAGCAGCAGGAGCUGCUGGUGGCUGGGCUUGGGGCGGCUGAGUAGGGCUUGGAGGCUGCAUUGGAGCCAUUCCAGGUCUCUGCACUGGAUUAUUAACUGGCAUAAAUCCUCUAGGAGCUUGGGAAGGAGCUACAACCUGAGGCAUCUUUUGUCCAAGAGCUGGGCCAGCUUGACUAGGGUGAGGGACGUACGCAGGAGGCACAUUAUGACCACCAGCAUAACCUGGGUUUGCAGGUCCGGGAUACAACUGAGCACCCAAGGUGGGCUGCUGAUAUUGCUCCACAUUUCUCAGCGCAGGGGGAUUUGAUGGGAUGAAGGAGGUCUUAGCAGGCUGAGUAGCAACAGGUGGUGGAGCAAUGUUACCCUGAGGAACUGGAGGAGUUGGAGUUGGCAGAAACAUGUUCGGUUGCUGGAUGUUUUGUUGUGGAGCAGGCUGGUAUGGGACAGGAGCACCAAAGCCGCUGUAUGAAGAACUAAAUGGUUGUUGAUAAUUCUCAGCAUAGGGGCUGUUUGAAAUGCUAGGCUGUGGCUUGGAUGGUUGCUCCGGAUAAUAAUGCUGAGAAGGAUCAGCCAUUCCAUAACCAGACUGAUCUGCAACAUAGCCGGAUCCAGUAUGCAGUUGUGAGUUGUCAAAAGCCAUAGAUUUUAAUGCGUCUUUAGCUGGUUCAGUGGAGAGUGCAAUACGAUCUCGUAAGAUAGUCAAUUCAGGUGACAAUUCCUCAGAGCCCAUAAGCUUCAAGUAUUCCAUUGCAGUAGUUAAAAGCCCUUGACUUGCUAGGAUUUCAGCAUACUUCUCAAGAAGCUUGCAAAGAGAAGCACUGAAUCUCUUUUGCCCAGUUGCCAAUGCAAAGACUAUCGUCUUUUCCAUUAAAUCCUGAAGAAGGUCAACAUAUGAUUUUCCAUCAGCCUUUCCUGCCAAACUCCUCGACCAUAUUUCUAUAGUUUUAUCAAUGUUCCCUGCACAUAUGUAACACAGUGUUGCUGGAAGGCUUUCACCAGCAGCCAAGAGUCUUGAAGCAAGUGUAUCGCACAAUGACGUCCAUUCAUCUUGUGGAGCAAAAGUGCAAAGGAGUGCAAGUGUUUCCUUCCAGGACUUCAAAGGACGAGUGUUUACAAGGCUCAUUAGAUCAUUGUUCACCAUAGCAGCAACAACCUUAAGGUAUGAAGAGUGACUAGUUUUAAGGUAUUGAUCACGAGUUUGCUCCCACAAAGAAGCACCACCGACAUGAGCAAUAACCAGAGCAUCAGCCAUUCUAUUUGCAGAUAUGCAUUGUGCAACAGCCCCCUUAUAGUCACCGACAACCAACGCGCGUUGUACAGUUUCAUCAAAUGAUGUGUCUGCACUCUCCUCUUGUACAUCCAUUUCCGGUUGGGAGUCCUUCACAUCAACUGACUCGCCAACAUCAAAGGUAUUCACAGACGUUGACACAGGUGUAUCAGCUUUGGGACUCGGA
rnacentral:misc_RNA from 1 species